CCUACGGGUGGCAUCAGUGGGGAAUAUUGGACAAUGGGGGGAACCCUGAUCCAGCCAUGCCGCGUGUGUGAAGAAGGCCCUCGGGUUGUAAAGCACUUUCAGUGAGGAAGAACGCCUGGUGGUUAAUACCCAUCAGGAAAGACAUCACUCACAGAAGAAGCACCGGCUAACUCCGUGCCAGCAGCCGCGGUAAUACGGAGGGUGCGAGCGUUAAUCGGAAUUACUGGGCGUAAAGCGCGCGUAGGUGGCUUGAUAAGCCGGUUGUGAAAGCCCCGGGCUCAACCUGGGAACGGCAUCCGGAACUGUCAAGCUAGAGUGCAGGAGAGGAAGGUAGAAUUCCCGGUGUAGCGGUGAAAUGCGUAGAGAUCGGGAGGAAUACCAGUGGCGAAGGCGGCCUUCUGGACUGACACUGACACUGAGGUGCGAAAGCGUGGGUAGCAAACAGGAUUAGAUACCCUUGUAGUC
rnacentral:rRNA from 1 species